UACGGAGGGUGCGAGCGUUGUCCGGAAUCACUGGGCGUAAAGGGCGCGUAGGCGGCCUGAUAAGUAGGGGGUGAAAUCCUGAGGCCUAACCUCAGGGCUGCCUUCUAAACUGUCAGGCUUGAGCACAGUAGAGGCAGGUGGAAUUCCCGGUGUAGCGGUGGAAUGCGUAGAGAUCGGGAAGAACAUCAGUGGCGAAGGCGGCCUGCUGGGCUGUUGCUGACACUGAGGCGCGACAGCGUGGGGAGCAAACAGG
rnacentral:rRNA from 1 species